GCUGGGUUCUGGACCCCAGAGCCCUUCCCAAGGCCCUGGGUCUCUGUCCCCUGCUGAGCUGCAGGCAUCUCCCGGGACUGAAGAGGCUGCCACCGCCGUGCCUGCGACUGCCAUGGCUGUGGCGUGAAGCUGCGUGACUUCCCUGAGCCUCAUUCCCCUGUCUGUGAAAUGAGGCUAAUGGAAGCAACCACCUCACAGGACUCUUGUGAGGAUUAAAUAAUAAUGCACAGAAAGCAUCUGGUGCACUGCAGAGCGAGCACUCGGUAAACGACAGCGAGUAUUAUCCCUCCAGCCUUGUUUGAGCACGGCCCUGCGUCCUCUUAAGCGUCACAAUUAUGAAAGUUCUGCUGCAGGGCACAGGGCGCUGGGUCUUUAGACGGGACACCUGAAGGAAGGCCCGGAGAAGCAUCGGAAGUGCAGCAGCGUAAACAGUUUUGUCACUGGCCUUGCAAAUGUCCUUAUCAGAAACCCAGUUGUCCUCCUGGAGUGAGCUUCGUGAGGGACGGCUGUGGAUGCUGUAGAAUCUGUGCCAAGCAACCAGGGGAUGUCUGCAACGAAGCCGACCUCUGUGACCCACACAAAGGGCUGUAUUGUGACUACUCAGCAGACAGUCCUAGGUAUGAGACUGGAGUGUGCGCAUACCUUGUAGCUGUUGGAUGUGAGUUCAACAGGGUACAUUAUCAUAAUGGCCAAGUGUUUCAGCCCAAUCCCCUGUUCAGCUGCCUCUGUGUGAGUGGGGCCAUCGGCUGCACACCUCUGUUCAUACCAACGCUGGCUGACAGGCACUGCUCUGGAGCUAAAGGGGGAAAGAAGUCUGAUCAGUCUAACUGUGGCCUGGAACCAUUACGACGGCAGCUUUCAACAAGCUACAAAACAAUGCCAGAUGUGUGCCAGGCUUCUAACCUGUUUCCUGCCUUGAGGUCUUUAAACUGUUGUCUACCUUCCAGCUUAUAGAAACCUCCCACUUAUUUGGAAAAGAAAAUGUCUUGUGCAAGCAACAAAGUGGACUCCCUGUUCCAGAACAUGUGGGAUGGGAAUAUCUAAUAGGGUAACAAAUGAGAACAGCAACUGUGAAAUGAGAAAAGAGAAAAGACUGUGUUAUAUUCAGCCUUGCGACAGGAAUACAUCAAAAACAGUAAAGAUCCCCAAAGGAAAAACAUGCCAACCUACCUUCCAACUUUCCAAAGCUGAAAAGUUUAUCUUUUCUGGAUGCUCAAGUACUCAGAGUUACAAACCCACUUUCUGUGGAAUAUGCUUGGAUAAGAGAUGCUGCAUUCCUAAUAAGUCUAAAAUGAUUAACAUUCAAUUUGAUUGCCCAAAUGAAGGGUCAUUCACAUGGAAGAUGCUGUGGAUUAUAUCUUGCGUAUGUCAGAGAAACUGCAGAGAACCUGGAGAUAUGUUUUCUGAGCUCAAGAUUCUAUAAAACCAAGCACAUGGGGGAAAAGUCAAUCAUGUCACAUAAUAAAAGCAUUAGAGUGCUUAUAAAAGGGUGGCAAAUCUACUGGUUUUAAAAAAAUAAGAAUGUUUAACUAUUCUCAGAUCAUUGUAUUUAAGGCAUUAGGAGCUUUUCAAAAAGCUUUUUCAAAUUAUAUAUAUAUGAUU